rnacentral:rRNA from 1 species
AAGUGGAGAAAGGUUCCAUGUGAACAGCAGUUGGACAUGGGUCAGUCGAUCCUAAGAGAUAGGCAAGAGCCGUUGCAAAGUGCCCAUUGCCGGGCCGCCUAUCGAAAGGGAAUCGGGUUAAAAUUCCCGAACCAGAACAAGGAUACGGUCACCUCGCGUGGCAGCAGCGGUGACGCAACCGAACUCGGAAACGUCGGCGAGAGUCCCGGGAAGAGUUCUCUUUUCUUGUUAACGCACUGUCACCCUGGAAUCGGUUUAGCCGGAGAUAGGGUUUCACGUGCGGUAAAGCUCCACGCUUCUUGUGGAGUCCGGUGCACUUUCGACGGCCCUUGAAAAUCCGAGGGAGUCCAUCAUUUUCUUGUCUGGUCGUACUCAUAACCGCAGCAGGUCUCCAAGGUGAACAGCCUCUGGUCGAUGGAACAAUGUAGGUAAGGGAAGUCGGCAAAAUGGAUCCGUAACUUCGGGAAAA